CUAUUGGGGUAGGGGCGUGUUUGUUUAGGUGAUUUCAAAUAUCAACAUUGGCUUUCAAACAUCAUGGACUCCGCCUUUAACUUCCAUUGAUGUAGAAUGCGUAUGAAUUGCACGCAGAACUGUAAAUUGUUCACAACGUCAUCAUCAUCAUUGUCCCGCCCAUUCAAUCUUACAAAGAUUCACGAUUAUGCCGAAACAGAAUAUGCUACGUUUAGAUCCCUUUUAUUACAACUAGCUGUUGUACAUUACAUACUGUGACGAAUCUUGAAACAUCUACAUACACUGAGCUGUAUCGGACGAUUGUUUUUACAGUUUAAUUCUAAACAAUCCGUUUCAGACGGGGAAACAAAAGCUUUCCAGACGUUUUAUUAAUUCAAAGUUUAAACAGCUGUGCUGCUUGUAGUUAAAUAUGAAAGCUGUCUGGUUUGUUUAAUUUGUUUACUGCUUUUUGGCUUGUGUUCUAUAUAAUAUAUUAAUAAAAAUAUUUAAAUAUCUCCGUGCUGCUUCACUGUUGUGAUUGCUUUUGGAAUAUUUAAAGUAUAAACUUUAUUAAAUAAUAAUAAUAAAUACAUCAUUUUAGUACUUCGCUGCUUCAGGAACCGCCCACUCCCGCUUGGAAACCAAUCAAAUGUUAAAACAUCUUUCGUGUCCUUAUCAUUGUCCCGCCCCCUUAUUGGACGGUACACGGUAGUUUAGUACAACCUGGAGAGCACGUGCGUGGUUGAAGAAGCUGCCAAUCAUAUUAUCAGGAUAGGAUACAAAAGUAAUGUUAAGUAUUUCGCAAAAUUAGUUCUUGUGCGUUAAUGUUGUUUGCAUCACACGUUAUUGGCUGAAGUGAGCAUGCGCAAGUAUGCUUACAGUUGUCAGGCGAUUUAGUCUUAAAAAAAAUAUUUAAAAAAAAAAUCUGUUUGGGUAAAAAUUUGUUUAAAGGUCAGCUGUGCGUAAGGAUUACUUUAUAUUGAUACAUCAUAUGUUUGAUUACGUUAAUUAAUCCCACUUAUGUCCGUGCAAGGCAUUACGUGUAGAUCACAGAUGUUUGGAUUUUUAUUGACACAAUCAUCAUCACGUACUAAAACUGUGUUUAUACUGGCCAACCUUUAAAUCGUCUUGAUGAUAACAAAGUAGUUUUAAGUGGCUUGUAAGUUUUUCUGUUAUGAUAUCAAGUUUAGUCAUUUUGUGUUCUUUUUCUUGUAGUCAAAAUGCCAGGUUCAACUAUUCGGCAAUGUCCCCACUGCCAGAACAAGUGUGGAAAACUGCUUGAUUUUAAAAACAGACAAUCCGUGCGGUUGGCAAAGUUUCGAGCCCAAGCCAGUCAGUGGGCAAAAACAACUAUUAAGUCUCGGAAUCAGUCCAAUGUCCUUGACAAUUUAGCUGUCAUGAUGGAAAAGCUUAAAGCCCUUGGUUACCUUCCAGUUCUUUUACUGGGAAAAUCAUCCAAGGCCCAAAAAUGGACAGCAGAGGUCCAAUGCCCAUUUGAGUUCCCACCUGAGGGCCAUGGAGUGAUUGAAAAAAUGCUCAUACUAUUUGAGCAUAUUUUACAGGGUUUUAGUCCAGAAAAAGAGCUUGAGGUCACAGAAGGUGAUAAGGCAGAAGGUCAGGACUUGAACAAGACCAUAGAGGAUGAAGAGGACAUUAUAUUGAAGAACAAUAUAGAAGUGGAAAUAUUGGAGGAUGAAGAGCAGAUGGAAGAACAACAGAUAGAAAGUGGGAAGGGAGAAUCAGAUACUCAAGAGGGAGAACCAAAAAACCAAGAGGUCACGGGCGAUGAGGCAGAAAGUCAGGACUUGAAAGGGACUGUAGAGGAUGAAGAGGACAUUCUGUUUGAGAACAAAGUAGAUGUGGAAAUAUUGGAGGAGGAAGAGCAGAUUGAAGAACAACAGAGUGGGGAGAGAGAACCAGGGAUUGAGAGAAAAAACGCUGAACAGGAAAAAAGGGUGAAAAGAAAGAUUAGAGCACUUGAGAUGGAGGAAAGGAGAGAAAUGGAGAGAAGAGAGAAUAACAUAGAAACAGGUGCACAUAUAAAUGAGGAAGUCAUAUUGGAAGCAGAUUGCAAAUCAGCUGUCAACAUGGUUGCAAAAAGAAAGCGGAGAAAAAAGAUGGACACAGGUAUGUUUGAUGAGAGUUGGAGCAAAACUGUAGAGCUGUGGCCCUCCAGAAUGUCAAUUUCAUGAGGCUCUGGACGUAUUUCCUGUGGAAUCUUUUUCAAAAAGGUGUGUCAGAAAGGGACGUAAAGAGGUUUUGGUGCAUUGGCAGCCAUGUCCAUCCUGUAAGAAGACAUGGCCGCCCACCUGGGAGCCUGAAGAUCAUGUUCAAAUUACCCUCACUCAGUGUUAACUACAGUACAUUACUGGUACAUGAUGGGUUUUUUCCACCGUUUUUAUUUCUAGUAAACAAAUAAAGGUUUAAAAUUUUA